rnacentral:lncRNA from 1 species
CUCACCCCAGUUUGUCUGGGUAAAUGUAGAUCCGAGCAGGGAGGCGGCUGCGGCCGGUGACAAAGCGCAGGAAACGGCUCCGGUCCUCUGGGUGGAGAAGAAAAUUAAGGCUUGCACUGAUGAAGGAAGCUCUAUAAAUUCCCGCCCGCCUCUUCAAUCCACAAGCCACGUCCCAAGGCAAGGUCAGCAAGUCCAGCACAGCCUGUGGUACCACCUUCAGCAGACCUGCCUGCAUGGCUGCCACCUAGGGAGGAGGAAGAAGCCUGCCUGGGAAAGUUGGACACUACUUUCAGCGUACACUGGGGCAUCUCUGUACUCACUGACCAGCAGGAAUGGGGUGCAGUCAUGGAAGCCAGCAUCAGGGUGGAUAUUGGUCGCCUACCAGUGGGCUCUGGCGUCAAGGGAAGGGCCUGCUGCUCCUGUUCUCCUACCUGCUCCUUGCUCUCCUCUAGCCGCGCCUUCCGCACCAGCUGGAUGAAACGGGAGCGAUCCUCAUAUUCCACCACGAUGCCCGUGCCCCCAGGAAUCAGCUCCACGACCUGUUGGUCACUCAGGACGGUGGUGAAUGUCAGCUCCUUCCCAAACUUGAACUCAAACGUCUCCUUGUCCACUCCUUCCAUCACUUCCAGGAGCUUCACCUGGAGUUGGGGAGAGGCAGGGCUGUCGGUCAGCUUUCCACCGGGGCAGCAGCCUCUCCCCAUCGGUAACGGGGAGUGCAGAGGCCAGGAAAGAGCUGGGAAAGCAGCAGCCAGCCCUGGAGCCUAGGGAGGGCACCUGCAGGACGUGGCACCCAAACGACAGCCAGACACUGGCUUGGCCGCAAGGGAAGUUGGGAGACAGAACAUCUUGGACAAAGAUGAAAAAUCCAAAGGCUUAAAGAAUGUCUUGCUAGGGCCCGAGUAUGAGUCAAAUGGCUGAGACACAGGAGCCAUUAAAGGCCUUCACAGGGUUCGCUCCAUCCUGAGCCCAGAGCAGAGGCAUCGAAUGAUUUAAAUGAGUGAGAUGAAUUACCCUGGCAGCAUGAGGUGGAUAAGAAUAGAGGCAGGGACAGGAGCUUUUAUAAUACAUGGUCAGAACAGAGGGAAGAUGGCCUGAACCAGGAGGACAGCAUGAGACGGGAGGGAGACGUGC